AUGUUCAAUACUCACGUUCUGAAUAGACAGACAGACUCAUCAGUGUUUACUGAGCUCUGCAGUGUGAAAUUCAUCAGCUUGUUUCACACCCAUUUAAAAACUGUUCUUGUUCCAUUUGUGGCCUCUGAAACAAACUUGACAGACAACAGCACAUCUGCUCCCAGUACCGCCAACAGCACAUCUGCUCCCAGUACCGCCAACAGCGCAUCUGCUCCCAGUACCGCCAACAGCGUAUCUGCUUCCAGUACCGCCAACAGCGCAUCUGCUUCCAGUACCGCCAACAGCGCAUCUGCUCCCAGUACCGCCAACAGCGCAUCUGCUUCCAGUACCACCAACAGCGCAUCUGCUCCCAGUAUCACCAACAGCGCAUCUGCUUCCAGUACCGCCAACAGCGCAUCUGCUUCCAGUACCACCAACACCACCGCAGAGGGGAUGAACUCGACGACCGCCUCUCCGAAUAUCACCGGAACGCUCACGACCCCGCAGAACAGCUCACCUGCAAACACAACAACAAACAAUGCAACCUCUACAACGGCUCCGCCCGGUAACGGCACCAACACCCAUUCCUCCGCGACAUCCUCCCCUACCACAGCAAGCAACGGAACGGCCACAAACCAGUCGAUCACAACUCCGAGCACGGCGGCGUCUGCGGCCAGCAGUAGUGCGGGGGUUCCUGGGUGGGGCAUAGCUCUGCUGGUCCUGGCGGCUGUGGUUUUGCUGCUGCUGCUCCUGCUGCUGAUCGGACUGCUGGUGUGGUGCUGCUGCUACAGGGGGCGCUCCCAAGGCUUCAGUCCCUACGACCACCUGAACAGCAGAGACGACAUCCCUCUCUACACCACUCACGGGCGCUUUGAAGCCACCAAUGGGAGAUCAUACGAGCAGACCGAGCGGCCGAUGAGGAGCUAAACACGGACGCCCGCUCAUCGACCAACUCAACACGUUUACUUUGUAUCUCUCAGUCUUUUUUACGAACAUCUGUCAUAAUUACUGUUUUAAUGUCAUGGACAUUAAUUUAUUGUCUGAAGGGAAAAUCAGAAACACGGAGUUACACUGAUCGGUGGAUUUAGGGUGUCAUUUAUAUUUUACUUUUGUUAUAUGUUUAUCAUGUCAUCAUAAUUACAACACAAACUUUACAUGUUUGUCUCUGAUUUUCAUUCCUUCUGUCUGUUUGACCAGUAUUACUUUGUUUUCUCUGAAAAAUCCAAAUCAUUUCACAUUAUUUUGAAUUCCUACGUUGAUGUUGUGACUAUCGUUAGGUUAGAUUACUUUAGAUUAUCUUUUGUCAGUUUUUGCGACAGGAUGUACACUUGCCAUUGCAUUAGGUACACCAGUUAGGCUCAUCCAAAUAUCUAAUCAGCCAAUCACAUGGCUCCAACUCAGUGUGUUCACACAUCUGGACAUGCUCAAGCCAGGCUGAAGUGAUUUAAGUGGCCUUGGUCGAGUUCUUGGUCUGAGCAUUUCAAAAAGGGGAGAUGUGCUGGGACUUUCUCACAGCAGCAUCUCUAAGUUCACAGAGAACGGUCCCAAAACGAGAAAACACCCAGUGAGCAGCUGGGAGACACCGCCAGAGGUCCAAGGAGAAUGGACUGCUUUGAGCUGAUAAAGGCAACGGUCACUCCAGCGUCCGCUCGUUACACGUCGAAGCCCGAAGCCGAUGGGCUUCAGCAGCAGGCGACCACACCGGGUGCCACUUCUGUCAGCUAAGAACAGCAAACUGAAGCUACAGCUCACAAACACUCACCAACUCAAAACCCAUUGAGGGUUUUUAAAAAAACAAAAAAAACAAACGCUAAUGCAUCUUUUCCCCAUGUUUUUAUUUCCUGGUAAUAACUUCUGCUGUUAUUUGUGCUUCUGUUGCGUGUGUUGGUUUGGCAGCGGCUCCCAUGUCCCACUUUUUUGUUUGUUAUGUUUGCAGCGGGACAAUCGUGGCCUGAAAGCAAAUCCUCAUUGUUUGAGGUUUGAUUCAUCUUUUCAAACGAAAGUCUAAGUUUAUUCUUUCCAACAAAGCAGCUCGGUCACAAAGACAGAAAGAGAAGGCGGACGUGGAGCGGGCGGAGGAAUGUAUGAACUUGGGAGCGUUUAGCAGGAGUGAUAAAGCAGAUAUCAACAUAAAGAGACUGGGAUGGGCUCUGAACUGAGUCAGCAUCACAGCAACUGUUACCAGCGAAGAGAAACACGCUCUCUCGUUUUAGGUUUCCAUUUCUCUGGGCUUUUUUAAAUCUUUUAUAUUUUAUCUGAAUAAACAAAUCUGCAAAAGUUUCUUGUAUAGUUGUUUUCCAUCAUGUCUAUUUAUCUUGUUACAAGUUUGUCUUUGUUUAACUUUAACACAUCGUUUCCACAGCAUCAAUAUUGUAUAUUCAUCUAAAUGUAGAAGGUAGAAGAUACCAUGUUAAAGAUGAAGCCUUCAAUUCAGUUCAAUCUUAUUUACACAGCGCCAAAUCACAACAGUCGCCUCAAGGUGUUUUCUAUUGUAAGGUCGACCCUACAGUAAUACAUACAGAGAAAAACCCAACAAUCAUAUGACCCCCUAUGAGCAAGCACUUUGGCGACAGUGGGAAGGAAAAACUCCCUUUUAACAGGAAGAAACCUCCGGCAGAACCAGGCUCAGGGAGGGGCGGGGCCAUCUGCUGCGACUGGUUGGGGUGAGAGAAGGAAAACAGGAUAAAGACAUGCUGUGGAAGAGAGACAGAGGUUAAUAACAGAUAUGAUUCGAUGCAGAGAGGUCUAUUAACACAUAGUGAGUGAAGAAGAAACACCCAGUGCAUCAUGGGAAUCCCCCGGCAGCCUACACCUGUUGCAGCAUAACUAAGGGAGGAUUCAGGGUCACCUGGUCCAGCCCUAACUAUAUGCUUUAGCAAAAAGGAAAGUUUGAAGCCUAAUCUUGAAAGUAGAGAUAGUGUCUGUCAGGGUUUUAAUAGUUUUGCAAUUUUCAUUAGUUUUUAUUUUUAUUUCGUUUUGACUUCAGAUUUUAAAUUUUAUAUUAGUUUUAAUUAGUUUUUACCAAUUGUUUGCUAGUUUAGUUUUAAUUUUUUUUGAAAAUCCUUAGUUUCAGUUUAGUUUUGAUUAGACAACUCACGUUCCCACCUAUGGGUUCUUUAAAUAAAUAAAGGCAGAUGAACAACCAUUGAUACCAGGCAACUAUAAAAUGUAUAUCUUGGCCCCAAUGAGACUAUUAACUCUUGCAGCACCGGGUGUUAAGGCAAUUGACUCACACAGUUAUGUAGAUAUCCCAGUCCUGUUGUCUCGGGAUGCAUCACGCUGCCUUGCCUGGGGUUAGCUUCUGUUUCUGGGGAUGAGGGUUGAGUGUGCUCCCUUACCUUCUCCAGGUAAGCUAGGUUAGCCUUCUUGUGUGAGCUUUUCAAGUGCACUUUAAGGUUUGUGGGAUUUUUUUCCUUUUAGAAAUGUCCCUCAUAAUUUGUCUCUUUCCACUACAAGACACUUGCUUUAUCCAAAACACAGUCAUAUUCAAAGUAAUCCCAAAUUGGACUGGCGCUUUCUCCAGACUUUUCCUGACGUGAUUCUGCGCGUGGACGGAGCAGCAACACAGACGACUCGACUAACGUACUGCCACCUGCUGGCAUAAUGAGACACAGCAAGAAAAAGACCUGGAAACUAAACUUCUUUUUCACCCUUGACUAUUGUAUGACACGCACACAUCAAUGAAAACUAAACGCAUUUUUGCUAUAAAUUCAGUUAAUUUUAGUUAGUUUUGUGAACACUCAUUACAGUUUUAGUUAGUUUUCCUUUUUUUGUUUUUAUUUUUAUUUCCGUUAACGAAAAUGUUUUUUCACUUCUAGUUUUCGUUAUUUCGUUAGUUUUCGUUAACGAUAAUAACCUUGGUGUCUGUCUCCUGAAUCCAAACUGGAAGCUGGUUCCACAGAAGAGGGGCCUGAAAACUGAAGGCUCUGCCUCCCAUUCUACUUUUAAAUACUCUUGGAACAGCAAGUUAUAGAAAAAGACAUACCUCAUAUUUCUGACAUAUGUAAGUGUCAUAAACAUCAGCCAUCAAUAAAAAAUACGAAACAAUAUUUGAACAAACAGCUCAUCCU
rnacentral:lncRNA from 1 species